GGGUCGAUGGCGUAGUUGGUUAUCGCAUCUGUCUAACAUUGAAUGAAAGCAUUGUAUAUGUUCCACAGAAGGUCCUCAGUUCGAACCUGGGUCGACUCA